rnacentral:rRNA from 1 species
UACGUAGGGUGCGAGCGUGUCCGGAAUUAUUGGGCGUAAAGAGCUCGUAGGCGGCUUGUUGCGUCUGCCGUGAAAAUUCACAGCUCAACUGUGGACGUGCGGUCGAUACGGGCAUCACUGGAGUUCGGCAGGGGAGACUGGAAUUCCUGGUGUAGCGGUGAAAUGCGCAGAUAUCAGGAGGAACACCGGUGGCGAAGGCGGGUCUCUGGGCCGAUACUGACGCUGAGGAGCGAAAGCGUGGGGAGCGAACAGG